rnacentral:rRNA from 2 species
UGCAGUCGAGCGGACUUGUUAGAAGCUUGCUUCUAUCAAGUUAGCGGCGGACGGGUGAGUAACACGUGGGUAACCUGCCUGUAAGAUGGGGAUAACUCCGGGAAACCGGAGCUAAUACCGAAUAACACUUUCGCUCGCAUGAGCGGAUGUUAAAAGACGGUUUCGGCUGUCACUUACAGAUGGACCCGCGGCGCAUUAGCUAGUUGGUGAGGUAACGGCUCACCAAGGCGACGAUGCGUAGCCGACCUGAGAGGGUGAUCGGCCACACUGGGACUGAGACACGGCCCAGACUCCUACGGGAGGCAGCAGUAGGGAAUCUUCCGCAAUGGACGAAAGUCUGACGGAGCAACGCCGCGUGAGUGAUGAAGGUUUUCGGAUCGUAAAACUCUGUUGUUAGGGAAGAACAAGUAUGAGAGUAACUGCUCGUACCUUGACGGUACCUAACCAGAAAGCCACGGCUAACUACGUGCCAGCAGCCGCGGUAAUACGUAGGUGGCAAGCGUUGUCCGGAAUUAUUGGGCGUAAAGCGCGCGCAGGCGGUUCCUUAAGUCUGAUGUGAAAGCCCACGGCUCAACCGUGGAGGGUCAUUGGAAACUGGGGAACUUGAGUGCAGAAGAGGAAAGCGGAAUUCCACGUGUAGCGGUGAAAUGCGUAGAGAUGUGGAGGAACACCAGUGGCGAAGGCGGCUUUCUGGUCUGUAACUGACGCUGAGGC